AUUGAACGCUGGCGGCAUGCCUUACACAUGCAAGUCGAACGGCAGCACGGGGCAACCUGGUGGCGAGUGGCGAACGGGUGAGUAAUGCAUCGGAACGUGCCCUGUAGUGGGGGAUAACUAGUCGAAAGAUUAGCUAAUACCGCAUACGACCUGAGGGUGAAAGUGGGGGACCGCAAGGCCUCAUGCUAUAGGAGCGGCCGAUGUCUGAUUAGCUAGUUGGUGGGGUAAAGGCCUACCAAGGCGACGAUCAGUAGCUGGUCUGAGAGGACGAUCAGCCACACUGGGACUGAGACACGGCCCAGACUCCUACGGGAGGCAGCAGUGGGGAAUUUUGGACAAUGGGCGAAAGCCUGAUCCAGCAAUGCCGCGUGUGUGAAGAAGGCCUUCGGGUUGUAAAGCACUUUUGUCCGGAAAGAAAUGGCUCUGGUUAAUACCUGGGGUCGAUGACGGUACCGGAAGAAUAAGGACCGGCUAACUACGUGCCAGCAGCCGCGGUAAGAC
rnacentral:rRNA from 1 species